GGGGAAUAUUGGGCAAUGGGCGCAAGCCUGACCCAGCAACGCCGCGUGAAGGAAGAAGGCUUUCGGGUUGUAAACUUCUUUUAUCAGGGACGAAGCAAGUGACGGUACCUGUUGAAUAAGCCACGGCUAACUACGUGCCAGCAGCCGCGGUAAUACGUAGGUGGCAAGCGUUAUCCGGAUUUACUGGGUGUAAAGGGCGUGUAGGCGGGACUGCAAGUCAGAUGUGAAAUGCCAGGGCUUAACCCUGGAGCUGCAUUUGAAACUGCUGUUCUUGAGUAUCGGAGAGGCAGGCGGAAUUCCUAGUGUAGCGGUGAAAUGCGUAGAUAUUAGGAGGAACACCAGUGGCGAAGGCGGCCUGCUGGACGACAACUGACGCUGAGGCGCGAAAGCGUGGGGAGCAAACA
rnacentral:rRNA from 1 species